rnacentral:rRNA from 1 species
GACGAACGCUGGCGGCGUGCCUAAUACAUGCAAGUCGAACGCAUUUUCUUUCACCGUAGCUUGCUACACCGAAAGAAAAUGAGUGGCGAACGGGUGAGUAACACGUGGGUAACCUGCCCAUCAGCUGGGGAUAACACUUGGAAACAGGUGCUAAUACCGCAUAAUUCCAUUUACCGCAUGGUAGAUGGGUGAAAGGCGCUUUUGCGUCACUGAUGGAUGGACCCGCGGUGCAUUAGCUAGUUGGUGGGGUAACGGCCUACCAAGGCUGCGAUGCAUAGCCGCCCUGAGAGGGUGAUCGGCCACACUGGGACUGAGACACGGCCCAGACUCCUACGGGAGGCAGCAGUAGGGAAUCUUCGGCAAUGGACGCAAGUCUGACCGAGCAACGCCGCGUGAGUGAAGAAGGUUUUCGGAUCGUAAAACUCUGUUGUUAGAGAAGAACAAGGAUGAGAGUGGAAAGUUCAUCCCUUGACGGUAUCUAACCAGAAAGCCACGGCUAACUACGUG